rnacentral:rRNA from 1 species
AUGAAAUUGAUCUUCUCGUGAAGAAGCGAGAAUAUUAUUAUUAGACGAGAAGACCCCAUGGAGCUUUAAACUUAUUACCAAUUACUUAACCGCUAAACCAUAAUAUGUAGUAAAAAUGUUCUUAAUAGUUUUCGGCUGGGGUGGCCCUGGAGUAAAAUAAACCCUCCAGAAUGAACGGAAUAAGACCCUAAUCUAAGAAUUACAGCUCAAAGAAUCAAAAAACUGACAUUAUUGAUCCAAUUAAUUGAUUAACGAAACAAGUUACCCUGGGGAUAACAGCGCAAUCCAUUUUGAGAGCCCCUAUCAACAAAUGGGUUUACGACCUCGAUGUUGGAUCGGGGUAUCCCGGUGGCGCAGCCGCUACUAAUGGUUCGUUUGUUCAACGAUUAACAACCCCACGUGAUCUGAGUUCAAACNNGA